rnacentral:tRNA from 1 species
AUGGGUGUAGCGCAGUCUGGUCAGCGCACUAGACUUGGAAUCUAGUGGUCGCAGGUUCAAAUCCUGUCACUCAUACCA